rnacentral:lncRNA from 1 species
UACGGUAUGUGAAAUGAUAAUAUGAAGUGCAUGUGUGCAAGUGAUAAUAAAAGUGUUCGUGUGCAAGUGAAGAAACAUAAAGGUGCAUGUGUGCAAAAUGGGAGGAAAAAUGAAAGUGUGAUGAGGGUAUAAAAUGGUAGAGUGGAUUUAAAAAUGCAUGAGCCUAGGGAAUUCAUGCAUAUUGGGUACGGGGAGACCUAAAUCGUGACUCAAUUUGCUCUUUAUAGAGGGAAUACAAGCGUGCUAAGGCUUAGAAAAAGCCACACUCGUCUAUAUCCCAUAUUUAAGGGGACUCUCAAGCAAAUGAACCCUAUAACUAGCAUGAAAUGCAAAAAUCCUAAAAUGGAGGGAAAAGGGGUUCGAGGGGCAUACAAGAUGAUAAAACUAAAAAGAAUGCAUGACAUGUAAUGAACAUGCAAACAUGUACUAACGAGGGGAAAUCCCUAAAGGUCUAGCGUUGGACUAGCCCAUUCUAUGAAUUCCGACUAGCGUUGGACUAGCGGAAACGUACAUUCAUCCAUCACAUUCAUUCAGGCCUAUGGAAAGCAAAUAGACAUGUCGAAUACUUGUAAACACAUAACACAUAACACUUAGUAUGCUUGACUAGAUGCAAAGGCCUAAUAAAGCAAUUAACACAUAGCAAUUAAACUAAUGAACCUAUUACAUUUGCUAGUUAGGCACACGUCUUCAAUAGGUCUUCAUCGAAUGCUCCUCCAAAUCCUAUCUAUUACAAGCCAAGAGGUGUACACAUACCCCAUAAAAGAAUAACUUAAUUAAAAGCAAAAAUAAAAUGAAAUAAAUGAAAGAGAUUAAGGAAAAGUAAGGGAAGCAAAUAGACAUGCAAUUUUCACGUAGCACGUUGGAUCACAUAAGAGAGACAAAAAGGGAUAAAAGAAAUUAUACCUCCCUUGAGUUGGAGCUCUAAUGGGGUGAAGUCCCUUAUUUAUCCUCCAAAAUAAAAGAAAUGGUCAAGGUGCCAAUUUAUUUGGCAAAUAAUCACAAAGGAUAAAAAAUAAACAUGAAUUUGAAUCAAUUAAAUCAUGUCAACAACCCACAUUUAAGAAGUCAAAAGAAGAAAGGACUUGAUUGCAAAAAUUAAUAAAGCCUUGGGGUCAAAAUUAAAGAAAAAUAAAGUUUAGGGGCCUAUUUGCAAUUAAAUUAAGGACCGAAUUGAAAGAGGUUGAAAAAAUCCAGGGCCACAGCAAUUAAGGAGAAAUUCAGGGACUGAUUUGCAAAAACGUUUUCUGGUUUCCUAAUGGACCAAAACAUUGGGCCAUUUCCUUUAUUUGUUUGGGCCAAAAGCUUCCCAGCCAAUGGAAAUCCAGAACAAAAAAAGAAUGGGCCAUUUUAUUUGUUCGUUUGGGCCAAAACCUUCCUGGCCCAACCGAUAAUUCUAAGAGGAAAGCAGGCCAGCCUAUCUUUAAGCCCAGACAAAGUGCAACUAGAACAGAUGGGCUUCACCUCUCAAGCCCAAACCAGAAACCCAAACAAAACAAAUUAAAUCCAUACUUACAAACCCAAUCAGAUAUGUUGGGCUCCAUCUUCCUAAGCCUAAGUCAAAACAUCAACAUAAUAAACUAAAUCACUUCCUUAAGCCCAAACAAAAUAACCUCUCAACCCAAAUUACCUUUUCACAGGUACCCAACAUGAUAAAAUCAACAAAAAUUACUAAGCUUUGAUUAUGCAUUAAAUCACAGCAUUAAUCUAUCCAGAAAUCACAUAAAAUAUGCAAACAGAGGAUUAAGCUUAAGAGGGCAAAAUUAGUUCAAUUUUCCAGAUUUUUGGGCCAUACCAGAAUAAGGAGGGAAUAUCAAAGGGUUCAAACACAACAAAAUAGGGACUUAAUUGGAGGAAUCAUGAAGAUUUUGGGGUCGAAAUUAAAGAAAAAAAACAUUCCGGGGUCAAUUUACAAGUUCCAGAUUUUUUUUCUUUUGCAAACCAAUGGUUCGCUGAAUCUAUCCUCUUCAAUUGUGACUGAAGGUAAGCUUCUGCAACCUCAGAUUCGGCCAUUUUGCUCUAACUAUCAACUAUCAUGUUUUAACAAGCAUUAAACUGGCCGGAUGUUAUGCAAAAAACAGAAAUCAAUUCAUUCUUGGAACUGGAGUUUCGGUUGGCCAUUUCAACGAGCAGAUUAGGAGCAUUAAAAGUUUCAUCAAUUUUUUGCUGGAAUUGAAGUUAAUCAAUCUCCAAAAUUGUUCAACAAUCAAGAAAUUUCAGCCCAAUCAUCAGUAAAACGUGCAUAAUCGCGAGAUUUGCAAAUAAAGCUUAGGGCGGCUAAGAACGAACGAAUUCAGAAAAAUAAGCAACCAGAGUUUCAAGAAUCCGAAAACUGAAUUCAGAUAAUUAAGGAAGAAACGGAAAACUUACAGUGCUAAUCCCACGUGAGCUUCAAUGAUGGUAGACUCCUUGCGAGUGCGGCAGUUCGAUGGCGGGACAGUGCCGGUACCAAUGGCUUCAACGAUUGCUGGCUCCGCUCGCUCCAGCCGUCGAACUUGUGGCCCAGCUCCCGUGUCGAUUGGAAGAUCCUGGCAGCACGAGCGGCAGGCGUGCAGAUUUUUCUGCCGUGCCCCUCCAUCUUGGUGUCGCGGUCCAUGGAGGAGAGUAGCCCGACCCGGAUGUUCUGUUCCGGGUUAAGAUGUUAUACGGAAUCCACGCUGCCUCUGAGGUUUCGUUAUGGGAAUUAGGGAGAGGGACAGUGAAUCGGGCGCAAGGAGGAGAUGAUACGGUGAGGCCGAAAAAGGGUGGCUGAGGUGCGCUGGACGGCUACUGAUUUGGAGACCAGGCCUUCCUUCCCUUGUUUCUUUGCUGCCCCUUUUUCAACCUUGCCGAAGCAAUUUUCUUCCUCCUCCCUUGGCCAAGCUCUCUGUUUCCUAGCUCUGUCCGCCGCCCCUUAUUCUCUCAAAACCCUCCAGCCCAAGACUUUCUCUCUCUCCCCAGCCAAAUGAAGCUCCCUUGUUUUUUCUUUGUUUUCUGAUUUUUUUCCCGUCACCUCUGUUCCUUAGCCGAAGACUUUUUCUCUGUUUCUUCUUUAGCUUCUUCCUAGCCCUCCUCCUAUUUUUGCUCUUCAUCUGCAAAACCCCCUCAGCCCCCUUUCUCCCUCUGCCUUUUUCUUCUUCGCCGAAGCUUUUCUAUUUUCUUGCUCUCAGUUCUGACUCUCAGCCGCCAAGCUUCCCCCGUUUUCCAGUUUUCUUUUUUCCUUUUUUGUUGUCCGGCCAAGCUUCUCCUCAGACGAAACCCUUUUCUGUUUUUUUUUUUUUUUUUUAGCCCUCACAAAAUUCUACUUUGACCCCAAAAAUUUCUUAACUUCCCAAAUGUCCCUAACACCUCACCCCUUAGGUGCUUAGUUGUCUAAAAAUAGAAAAGACACUUGUCCAAGUGCAUGUAGUCCCACUUGUCAUUUUCACCUUUUUUUCUUUUUCCUUUUCUCUUUUUCUUUUGUUUUUUUCCUGAAAUUUAAUGUGAAGCCAAAAAUAGCUAGAACAAAAACAAAAUAAAUAACAAUAAUAAAAAUAAAAUAAUAAAAUAAUAAUAAAUAAUAAUAAUAAAUGAAAACUCUAAAAUUGAAACAAAUAAAGUUAAGAUUAAAUUAAUUAAACAAAUAAAGUUAAAAAAUCAAAAAUUUGGUGUCUACAGUUUGCCCCUCUUUGUCUGAGUUUUGAAAAAAUUUGAGACAAAGAAGUAGACACCAAAUACUUACCUGUGUUAUUUGGCGGUGAAAACGUCUCAAACAAAUGGACGCUUUAGAAACGGGGACUGACUCCUUUAUCAAACUGUGAAAUGGGACUGACCCAGACAAGAAAAUUAAACAGAAAAUUUAAUCGGGACUGACCCGAGACAGGAAAUUUAAAAUCGGGACUGACCCGAGACAGGAAUUUUAAAACGAGACUGGCCCGAACAUGAAUUUAAAACGGGACUGGCCCGAACAGGAAUUUAAAACGGGACUGACCCGGAAAGGAAUUUAAACGGGACUGACCCGAACAGAAUUUAAACGGGACUGACCCGAACAGGAAUUUAAACGGGACUGACCCGAACAGAAUAUUUAAAACGGGACUGACCCGAACAGGAAUUUAAACGGGACUGACCCGAACAGAAAUUUAAAACGGGAUAGACCCACGCGAUAGACCCGAAACGAAAUGUAAAUGGGAUAGACCCAAACAGAAAUGUAAAUGGGAUGAAUUGAAGUGAGAUGGAGUAUUGGUGGGGUUGACCCAUGUUUAUUGGUGAUGCAAAUGAAAGAAGAGAAAUGAAGUGUUAAUGGGACUGAUCCACGUUCCAGUGGCUGUGAAAAUGAAAUGUUCACUGGCGGACUGACCCACGUUCCAAUGGCUAUGAUCAUGAAAUGCUCACUGGCGGGACAAACCUCAGCUCCAGUGGCUAUGAAAAUGAAAAGCUCACUGGUUGGACAAACCACACGCUCCAGUGGCUAUGAAAAUGAAUGCUCAUUGGCGGGACAAACCUCAGCUCCAGUGGCUAUGAAAAUGAAAAGCUCACUGGCGGGACAAACCUCAGCUCCAGUGGCUAUGAUCAUGAAAUGCUCACUGGCGGGACAAACCCAACUCCAAUAGCGAUGAAAAUAAAAUGCUUACUGGCGGGACAAACCCAGCUCCAAUAGCGAUAAAAUGCUUUUGACAAUUGGACAGUGGGACAAAACCCGAGCCUGCCGAGGUCGGAGGGAUAAAACCCAUGCCCUAAUGAAAAUAAAAGCGGUCAGUGGGAUAAAACCCGAGCCUGCGAGGUCGGAGGGAUAAAACCCGUGCCCUAACGAAAAUAAAAGCGGUCAGUGGGAUAAAACCCGAGCCUGCCGAGGUCGGAGGGAUAAAACCCGUGCCCCAACGAAAAUAAAAGCGGUCAGUGGGAUAGAACCCGAGACUGCCGAGGUCGGAGGGAUAAAACCCGUGCCCAACGAAAAUAAAAGCGGUCAGUGGGAUAAAACCCGAGCCUGCCGAAGUCGGAGGGAUAAAAUCCAUGCCCUAUCGGAAAUAAAAGCGGUCAGUGGAAUAGAACCCGAGCCUGCCGAGGUCGGAGGGAUAAAACCCAUGCCCAACGAAAAUAAAAGCGGUCAGUGGGAUAGAACCCGAGCCUGCCGAGGUCGGAGGGAUAAAACCCGUGCCCAACGAAAAUAAAAGCGGUUAGUGGGAUAAAACCCGAGCCUGCCGAAGUCGGAGGGAUAAAACCCGUGCCCAACGAAAGUAAAAGCGGUCAGUGGGAUAAAACCCAAACCUGCCCAAUGGGAAGUCGGCGGCACGAAGUCCAGGCCCAACGUGAUCUUAUGAAGUUGACGGCACUUGGGCGAUCUUGUGAAGUUGGCGGCACGAAGUCCAGGCCCAACGUGAUUUUGUGAAGUUGGCGGCACAAAAUCCAGGCCCAACUUGAUCUUUGGAAUGUUGGCGGCACGAAACUCAGGCCCAACUUGUUUUUUGGAAUGUUAGCGACCCGAAACUUAGGCCCAACUUGAUUUUUGGAAUGUUGGCGGCACAAAAUCCAGGCCCAACGUGAUCUUUGGAAUGUUGGCGGCACAAAGCUCAGGCCCAACUUGAUGUUUGAGAUGUUGGCGGCACGAAAUCCAAGACCAACUUGAUGUUUAUGAUGUCAAGAGAAGGGGGGAACAGAAUGAUGCGCGGCGUGCAUUGAAGUUUCGCCCAUAAGAAAUCAAAUUUGAUUUUUCAAGAAACAAGAAUUUGAACUUGAUUUUUGACUUUUGAACUUUGAAUUUUUCUGAUUUUUUUUUUGAGAGAAUUUUUCAAAAAUAAUUUGCCCCAAGUGUAGGGCCCUUUUCCCUUCUUUCUUCUCUUUCUUCGGCAUCGGCUUCCCACAUCACCAGAUGCUUUUUCGUCAUUUUGAACCAUGAAUACCUGUACAAGGGGUUCAUCAAAGUAUGACAUGCAUUCAAAUUUCUUAUUUGGAAAGAACAGCGUGAUUGGUUUGACAUCCUCAAAUGUAUUACAAAAAUUUUGCCCCAGUGUGGGCUAUUUUGCAAAAUCUCUCACAUGAAAAUUUGCCCCAGUGUAGGCCUAUUUAAUUGCAAAAAAAUUUGUUUGAAUAACCCUCCAUUUAUUUGAACAAAGUAAACAAUUGCUUUUCCUAACAUAUCAUGUGAAGAAAUUUGAAUGUCCUGCUUAAACUCAUAUAGCACAUUUCAUGAUGAAUUUCUCAAAAUAAUGCCAAAUUACGAAAGAUUUCUUCCCCACUUUAGCAUCAAUGCUUUGGGUGAUGGGUCACCAUUUCUGGUUGGUUCAUCUUUCAGGACCAAUCAAGUGACUUUAUUUUUGAAAUGGCUAUGGAAAUGGGAGAUCAGAAUUUGUCUGGUUCUUGUGCCCAAAAUUGUAAUGCAUUCAACAUCACAUCUUAGUGAAAGCAAAUAGUUUGUCCAUUCUUAUUUUCAAGAAAACUUAGUCAACAUACAAGCUUUCUAGGCUUGUAACGUAUGGACAGAAGUGAUAGCUAAACAUGUGGAAACGGGUUAUACCCUUAUGAUCACAAAUGAUUUGAUGAAUUUCUUAUGAGCAUGAUCCUCACUUUGAAUUGUCAUGAAGGAAUAAGUCAACGAUGGACUUUAUUAGCUUGUAAUGUGGCUUGAAAAUGAUAGUUAAAGAAUAAGAUUUUCAAGGAUAUUGCACCAUAGAUCGCCUUUUUCCAAAAUUGUCCCUAUUUUGAACUCAAAAGAUUUCAGACUUUGUUUGGAUUUUCUCAUCAUUCCCAAAGACUUCAACGUCGAACUUUUCUGCAUUUACUUUUCUCGCUUUACUUUUUGCCUCUUUUUCCUUUCCCUCGAUUUGGUGGGUUUUCACAUGGUGAGUAGCGUCAACCUCAUACCCAAGCAAUUCAGAAAUACAGCUAAAAUUUUUCGGCAUCAGAAAUUUUCUUGACAGGGCCAUUGCAAAGAACAGAAGUCAGGACUUUCGGCUUUUGUAAUGGGGUCUGGUGGGGUGUCUAGAAAAUUUAAGGCUUGAAGGCAGAUUUCAAAGGUGGUUUGGAGAAUCUGAGAUCGCAUUGUUGUGCCAACCCUAUUUUAGGGUUAAAUCAGAAUUUGCCAGAGCUUGUGCUCAAUUGAGGUUUUUUCUCUUUCAUUUUCUUUCGAUUCUUUUGGCCUUUUGCCAUUUUUUUUUUUUGAACUUUCACAAAAUUUGCCCCAAUUUAUUUUUGAACUGAGGUUCUCUUUUCUUCUUUUGUCCUUUGAUUUUGUUACAUUAUCGCUUUUCACUUCUUGAAACUUUUUCCAACUCAAACUUGCCCCAGUGUGGGGUUUGCGAUUCUCAGGGGUUGUCAAACGAAAUAUUUUAUUCUGAAAGCUCAAAAGGGACAACUAGGGAUAGAAUGCUUGAUUGGAAAAGAAGAGGGCCUGACUUUUAAUCCGUUCCUUACAAUAACUCUGAAAGGAAACUUUCGUUAAUGCGAAAUUUUUGCAUGUAUCUGAAUUAAUUGACUGAGGAAGACUCUCCAUAAGGGGUUCGUCGGGCAAAACCCUUCCUUUUUCUUUUUUCAAAAUUGAAGCCCAGAUAGAUUCAAAUUUUUCCAAUUUGUGAUUCCCUCUUUUCUUUUAAUCUUUAGCAUUUUUUUUUUUUGGAAAAAUCUCCAAUCUCCUUCCCCAAUGUGGGGUGCGAUCAUAAGUGCUUUGAAAAGAACCACCCAUUUUGGCUCAAAUAAGGAUGCAAGGGAUAAAUGAUGUUUAGAUUGUAGAAACGAUGGCCAAAGUAUCAUUCUUACACCUAAUGACAACCAAAGUAACGAAAUGGUCAUUGAAAAUCCAUUUCCCUUUUUGAUAUUUGGAAAUUUUCCAACGAAGGGUAGUGAUUAUUGUGAGAACCCGUAAAACCCUAAUUAUUUUCCUAGGGUUUAUUACCCCUUAAUUGCAUAUAUUUUUGCAUUUUCGGGUUUAGAAAUAUUUUCUGGUAGAUUUUAUGCGUAAUUAUAGUUUUAAGAUGAUUUUUCUAGUAUUGGAGAGUUUUUAGAAAAUUAAGAGUAAAUAGUGGACGUGGGACCCACUAGUGCGAAAAGUUCAAAAAAAUUCGGCCAACUAGAUUAAGUUUUGGAUACUGGAAUUAUUUUAUCGGGUGUUAAGAGAUAAGUAGAGGAUGUUAUUUGGAUUGGUAUGAGGGGGAAACAAAGAGAUAGAGAUUCAUUUAUGAAGUGACAAGUGUCACCAUUUGAUUGGUUGGAUACUAUUCACUUUUUGACUUUUUUUUUUACCAAGUGAUUAAAUAUCUUAAAAUUUCACAAAAAUCACCAUUUCUUCUCUCUCUCAUGGCCGAACCUCUUGCAAGGAAAAGGAAGAAAACUUCUCCAAGUUUCAAGCUUCAAACUAGCUCAAAUCUUCCAAGAAAAUUACUUAAACUAGUUUCUACUCCAUAAAUUCCCUCUAGUUGGUGCUAGUAAGUGAUUUGGUGAGAUUUUUUGGAGAAGCUAAGGUGUCCUACAACUCUCCCUCUCUUGUUUACUAGGUAAGUAGUGGUUCAACUUCCUCAUAUACUUCAUGAAGCUUAAGUUAUGCUUAGUAGUGGCUAAAGUGUUUAGAUUUGUGAUUUAUUUCUUGUUCUUGGAGAAAUUGAUGGAGUUUUCAAUUUUUUGGGAUUAUUGCUGUUUUCAUAUGAUCAUGAUGGUGUGAUGACUUAUGAUGAUUGGAAAUAAGGGGUAAUGGCUCUAGUAGGUGCAUAUGAUAGAAAAUUGCAAUCAAUUUUGGAUUUGGAAGAAUUUCUGGAAAAUUAGGGUUCUUGGUUGAACAUUCUGUCCGAAAUUUUUGGUCAUAGAUAGAGGCCGAAUUGGACUUUGCUCAAAACAUUAAAGUUGUAGGUAUUGAUGAGUUUGAAGUGCCUGCAAAAUUUCAGGGCAUUUGGAGUAGUGUAGAGUGAGAUAUGUCGAUUUUACUGUUGCUGUUCUGGGUUGAUCAGAAUGCGAAAACUGCACUGGUAAUUGGCCAUUUUGACUGGAAUUGCUUUGGAUUUGGAUGUUAGUGUCUUCUGAUGAAAUGUAGCUGGAUGUCUUAGCUUCCAUAUGCCUUUGGAAUCAAUGCAUUUGGACCUGUACAGACCGAGUUAUACCAAUUACAGCAUAUUGGGAUUUGUGAACCUGUUUUAGUGGUUCUGGUUUGGUAUUUUUGGCAUAUUUGACCUAGUUGUGCUAGGAUUUGGAUUGAGUGGCCUUCUAUAUUGUUGUAGCCCUGUUUCAUAGCUUCGAAACGGUGGGUCUUACACCCCCAUCCGAUAAUCAUAGUGAAAUUGACACCAUUACCGCAAAAUGACGUCAAAACUGUAUUUUUCCGGGCCAAUGCUAGUUACAUUUCCGAAAUUUCUGGUUUCCUCUAUUGUUUGUAAAUGUUUAUGGAACCUUAUUGGGUCAUGUUUGGCCUUGGUUUAUGACUCGUUAUCGAGUCUCAUUGUAUUUGUUGCAUGUUUUUAGGGCGUGACGGUGGUGCACAACGUUCUUUUGACUAAAGUGUUUGAAACCACAUUGUGCUAGCUUGGUGAGUGUACUACUCACUUAUGUGCUAUUACAUGGCUUUGAUCUUGGUACUUGAGAUGUUGAAUGUUGAUUGAUCCAAGUGAGAGUGUACUUUAUCACUUUUACUUAUUGUUUCGCAUGUUAUUGGAAAGUUAUAUGAAAUGUUAUAUGAAAUGAAAUACCUGACUUCAAAUAUUAUCCAUGAGCUCAACCCAUUGGUUAUUGAUUGAAUCGAGCCGGCGAGGGCUUGGUCGUGCCAAUUAAUGUGCCUUGGGGCAACAUCAUAGGGAAUCUUGUAGUAUGAGAGACUCUUGAUUCCGGUUUACUCGAGUAAUACCACAAUGCAUGCGUUUGGAUUUCGGGCCCGGUUGAGGAAUGUUAGGAGGAAGGGAAUGGAAGUUAAGAGGAGUCUACGGUUGGUUACCUUUCAGACAUUGACGGAGAGUCAAUGAGACCUGAUCAAGAAUUCAAACGAGGAAAAAGGGCUCUUGAGAGCCACCCGUAUCCUUUAUCCUCAUUAUUAAUGUGUGGCUUUAUUUAUUUUGGUAAAUUGGACUGUUAAACUUGAUGUAUUCAUGAACUUGGUUGCUUGAGUUGUAUUCUCACUGGGCAAUUAGCUCACCCGUUCCUUUUGUUUUCCUUACAGGAAUAUGACUCUUUUGGAAUGAAUUUUGAUAAAUGGUUGCCGAAUGAACUAGAUGAAUGACUCUUUUGUAUUGUAUAUAAAAUGGGACCCUAAAUGUAUCAUUAGGGCCGUUUUCACUUUUGUUUUGGCAAACCAUAUAUGUAGUGACUUUUGUAUCACUUUUAAAUGUCAUUUUUGGUUUGUAAAGGCUAAAUGUUAUGUGGUAUAUGUAAUUCGAUGUUUGGUUGGGUUCGGACGAGUCGGUUACUAUUCAUGGCCGACUCCGGAUUUCAUUUUCUUUUAUUUUGGGUUAUUUUGCCUUUUGCCUUAUUUGCGCUCGUUAUAAGUUCCGGAACGUGAAAGAUCGCUCUAUACUGCACCGUUAGUCCUGGCGAGAGAUGGGCAGGCAGUCCGCUAACCCCUUUGGUUCGCCUUAGGGGAAAGUGGGGCUGUCACAAUUAUUAGGGCUCUUAUUUGAAACGAAAUUACUCUUUCAAAAGCUCAAAUGGGAGAACAAAUGAUAAAAUCUGUAUAGGUAGAGAAACGAACACUUGAAGUAUCAUUCCAAAUUUUCAAAACAAAUAAGAAUAAUGCAUCUUUUUGCUUUCACUGAGAUGUGGACUGAAUCUAAUUAGACACAGUGGACACUUUUCACGCGAAGAUUGCCCCAAUUUGCAAAUUAUCAAUCAAUGUGACUGAUUUUAUUUUGGGGUUGAAUGAAAUGGGCAAACUAUGAAUUGUACAGUGAAUUGUACAGUGAAGGAGAAAAUGUAUCUCAUGAGGCCUUUGGAGUGACCAUUCACCUUUUUCUGAGCACUCUUAUUGUAUAGCUCGGAUCACCAACCUAGUGUACAUGAGGAUUUUAGAGAGUAUACACUUGUGAAAUUCUGACUAUAGGUUGAAAAAAUCUCAAUUUGGUCUUAUUUCUCAAAAUUCAUCAUGAAAUCUCCAAUGAAUAAGAAUAAAGAAUGAAAGGUACAUAAAUAUACCCAAAACAAUGAUUGUCCAAAAAUUUUUAUUGCUGAAAAAGUUUGAAACAAAAAUUCUCGUUCAAUUAUGAUACAAAUGAGAAGAGAGAAACUUGUAAAGAGCUCCACAUAUACACUUUUUGUUUCCUUUUCUUUUUGGAACAAAAUGUAUUAACAAAUCAAAUGUACAAAAUUUUCCUUUGGAAAACAAUUAUAACAUCUCUCAGAGGCUUUAACGUAGAGCUUCCAGAUAAAUCAUUUAUGUUUUCAUUGUAGGAUCUGCCCAAGAAUCAAAUAACACUUGCAGUUUUGACACUUGCAGGAUCGGAAGUGCCAUCAGAUAUAGAAAAAUAUUUCCCUUUUAUUGAAGUGUUUUUAUGAAUGCAAGGGAGGGGGAAAAACAAAAGAAAAAUACCCUGAAUUAGUAAGAAAGAAUAUAAAAUCGGUAUGCAUGUCUAUGGGGGGACCCUUUUGUGCAAGGGUAGGCCUAGCAUGAAAAUGCAAUCCUCUGAGGUAGGCACUAUACCAUACCUGAUGGAUCCGAUAAACUCAUCGAGUGAAAAAUAAUUUUGAAAAAUUUGGCCAAUUGGAUUGACGAGAGACACUUGUCAAAUGAGGUCAACAUCCGAAUGGAUUGAUCAUUUGAUUGAUACAAGAAUUUGCAAAAACGCAUGGGUUUUGACCUUGACGAACUUUCCUAUCGAAGAGAUUGAAAUUCGUUUUGACAACUUUUCUCAGUGAAGCACGGGUCAAAACUCCAACUGAUCAAAUGGCUGGAUGCAAUGGAUGUUUUCUCAAAAUCACUAGGUUUUCCAUUUUGAAAUUGACAUUGAAAUCCUAAUUGGUCAAGAUGAAAUUGACAAUUUAUUAAAAAUCGCCGGAUGACCCUAAAAAAGGGUAAAUGUGGUCAAAUGACCCUAAAAAGGGUAAAUUGUCAAAUGAAUUGACGAUUUAUUCAAAAUCGAUCGGCGAUGACCCUAAAAAGGGUAAAUUGGUCAAAUGAAUUGACGAUUUAUUCAAAAUCGACCGGAUGACCCUAAAAAGGGUAAAUUGGUCAAAUGACCCUAAAAAGGGUAAAUUGGUCAAAUGAAUUGACGAUUUAUUCAAAAUCGACUGGAUGACCCUAAAAAGGGUAAAUUGGUCAAAUGAUGGUUUAUUCAAAAUUGAUUAUGAAUUGACAAAAUGGAUCGAUUGAAUCGGCCGGCCAUUGGUGGUUUCAGAAAAUUAGUCUAUGAGCCUUCAAAAAUCACGAUUUGGCCUCAAUUUAUUCAUCGUCUCAACAAGAGGAAUCAUUUGUGAAUUUCUUCAAAUUAAUGUCCUUUGCGCAAGGGAUUUUUACCAAUUUUGAUAAAAUGGCCAAAAAGUGAUUAUUAGAUGCUCAUAUUCCAAAGAUCACUCUAUGAAAAUGAUCGGAUCCUACCUUACCUUGUGCACUACCCCUUUGGAUGGUACAAAAUGUAAACGUGCAAGUCUCUUUGGAUUAAGUAUCCGAGACAUAAGGUGGUUUAUUCCUGACACGAGAUCCCCUAAAUGGCAUUCCCUUUCUAGGGUUGAUGCAUGAUGCCAUUUAUUAAAGCAAGAAAAUAUGCAAUUCGAAACGAAACGUGACCUAAGGAACCCUUUAUAUGCCAAGGUAGGCCUAAAAUGGUAUGACAUUAUGAAUUAUGAACAAAAUGCAUCACAAUUUUCAAACGUGCGAUAGCCUAUUUACAAGGGUAGGUCCUAAAAGAGGAUCAUGCCAGACCUCUUAUUUCCUAACAUUUGUGAAUGCAAAAGAUAAGAAACAAGGAAACGUUAGUUCAACACAUAAUCACAUAACAUGUUGGACAAUUAGAUGAUACAAAAGCAACAAAGAAAUAAGGAAAGAGGGUGGGAUCCCUCCCCUCGUGCAUGGUGUCCCUAAUAGGGUAAGGUUGACUCUACCCUAGGCAAUUCUAAAAUGGAUGCGUGAGGUUGGGGUUCACUAAUGCAUCUAGACUCGACAAGCUCAGGUCCCCAAACCUUCAGACUUGGAAACCAAGGGUCAUCACUCCAAGGUUCCUUGUCGGUGGCUCGAGCGAUUCCCCAGACGUUGCUACGCACACGUCGUGUUACGGCUACUACCGUCUGGGCGAAUCUAAAAAAAAUCCUCAACCUUCGACUAAAAACUAAUAGGUCAUCAACCUACAGUUUAAAGCGGAAGAUCGAGUGACCCCUUGGAUCAUGCUACGCACACGUCGUGAUACGAUCACAUGUCCAAGUGGUCGCCUAAAAUCCUAAUAGGGUGGAGUGGCGUGACAAGCCACUAAAAGAAAAAUAAAUGAAGGGUGAAAAAAAAUUAAAGCGUAUGCUCGUAUGCUAGUGCUCGUUUGGAGGGGAGGGAUCAAGAACCAACGUGAGGCUCUAAGGUGACACACACCCCCCCAAAUGCAAUGCGACCGCGAGAUAAGUAAGUAAACAUCCAAUCAACCAAUCAUACAUUCGUGAGCGAGGGAGUAGUUGGACACGCGUGAAAUGCAAAAUCCUAAAAAAGAAAAAAAUGCAACCCUAAAACACCAAAAUGUGAUAUAUGAAAAGGUUAAAAGAAGAAAAAAGUUGAUUAAAUCAAAUUUGCUCGGACUCUCGAAUGUCCCCAGUGGAGUCGCCAACUGUCGCGCCCCAUUUUUUUUUUUUGAUAAAAUAAAUAAAUGGUUUAAAAAAUGUAUUUUUUGAUUCAAUUUGUGGUUGGAAAAUGAAUUUUGAUUUAAAAGAAAAGUGGGCCUCAAUGGGGUUUUGAGAAUGCGACGAUUUGACCCAAAAUUAUAGUUUUGAAAAGGGUUUUUUGAAAUAAAAAUCGGAGUCGCCACUUGGUAAUGAGUUAAGGUGUACCAAGUCACCUAAAAAUGAAUUUUUAAAGAAAAAUAGGAAAAAGUAGUAAGAAACCCUUUUAAACGACUCUUAGUCCACGUAAACCAAAGAAAAAGGUUCGGGAGUCACAUUUGACGAAGGGAAGGCAAGGAUAAAAAUCCAAGGCACCCCUUCGACCUAGCCAAGGCUAGUUGCAUGAUUUAAUCAAAGAUUUUCUUGUUUUAACCAAAGAAUUUAUUACAUUUGGAUGCACUACAUGAAUGCAAACCCUAAACCUAGGGUAUUGAGGGAAAUUUCUCUUCAAAGGUUAAGUGGUGCCAAUCACAUUAAUUGUGAAGCCCAAUAACGAUCCUUUGAGAAGUCACGAAUAAGGCAAGUGGGAUGCAAAGGAAUGGAAUGCAUGUAUGCAAUGUGAAGGCAUGAGUUUGAAAAAAUAAUAAAAGACAAUAAUGUGUAAAUGAAAAUGUGCACGUGAGUGGGCAAGGUACGGUAUGAAAUGAUAAUAUGAAGUGCAUGUGUGCAAGUGAUAAUAAAAGUGUUCGUGUGCAAGUGAAGAAACAUAAAGUGCAUGUGUGCAAAAUGGGAGGAAAAAUGAAAGUGUGAUGAGGGUAUAAAAUGGUAGAGUGGAUUUAAAAAUGCAUGAGCCUAGGGAAUUCAUGCAUAUUGGGUACGGGGAGACCUAAAUCGUGACUCAAUUUGCCCUUUUAUAGAGGGAAUACAAGCGUGCUAAGGCUUAGAAAAAGCCACACUCGUCUAUAUCCCAUAUUUAAGGGGACUCUCAAGCAAAUGAACCCUAUAACUAGCAUGAAAUGCAAAAAUCCUAAAAUGGAGGGAAAAGGGGUUCGAGGGGCAUGCAAAAUGAUAAAACUAAAAAGAAUGCAUGACAUGUAAUGAACAUGCAAACAUGUACUAACGAGGGAAAUCCCUAAGGGUCUAGCGUUGGACUAGCCCAUUCUAUGAAUUCCGACUAGCGUUGGACUAGUGGAAACGUACAUUCAUCCAUCACAUUCAUUCAGGCUAUGGAAAGCGAGUAGACAUGCCAAACACUUUAAACACAUAGCACAUAACAUUUAGCAUGCUCGACUAGAUGCAAGGCCCUAAUAAAGCAAUUAACACAUAGCAAUUAAGCUAAUGAACCUAUUACAUUUGCUAGCUAGGCACACGUCUUCAAUAGGUCUUCAUGAAUGCUCCUCCAAGCCCUAUCUAUUACAAGCCAAGAGGUGUACACAUACCCCAUAAAAGAAUAACUUAAUUAGAAGCAAAAAUAAACAUGAAUUUGAAUCAAUUAAAUCAUGUCAACAACCCACAUUUAAGAAGUCAAAAGAAGAAAGGACUUGAUUGCAAAAAUUAAUAAAGUCUUGGGGUUAAAAUUAGAAAAAUAAAGUUUAGGGGCCUAUUUACAAUUAAAUUAAGGACCGAAUUGAAAGAGGUUGAAAAAAUCCAGGGCCACAACAGUUAAGGAGAAAUUCAGGGACUGAUUUGCAAAAACGUUUUCUGGUUUCCUAAUGGACCAAAACAUUGGGCCAUUUCCUUUAUUUGUUUGGGCCAAAAGCUUCCCAGCCCAAUGGAAAUCCAGAACAAAAAAAGAAUGGGCCAUUUUAUUUGUUCGUUUGGCCAAAACCUUCCUGGCCCAACCGAUAAUUCUAAGAGGAAAGCAGGCCAGCCUAUCUUUAAGCCCAGACAAAGUGCAACUAGAACAGAUGGGCUUCACCUCUCAAGCCCAAACCAGAAACCCAAACAAAACAAAUUAAAUCCAUACUUACAAACCCAAUCAGAUAUGUUGGGCUCCAUCUUCCUAAGCCUAAGUCAAAACAUCAACAUAAUAAACUAAAUCACUUCCUUAAGCCCAAACAAAAUAACCUCUCAACCCAAAUUACCUUUUCAUAGGUACCCAACAUGAUAAAAUCACAAAAAUUACUAAGCUUUGAUUAUGCAUUAAAUCACAGCAUUAAUCUAUCCAGAAAUCACAUAAAAUAUGCAAACAGAGGAUUAAGCUUAAGAGGGCAAAAUUAGUUCAAUUUUCCAGAUUUUUGGGCCAUACCAGAAUAAGGAGGGAAUAUCAAAGGGUUCAAACACAACAAAAUAGGGACUUAAUUGGAGGAAUCAUGAAGAUUUUGGGGUCGAAAUUAAAGAAAAAAAAACAUUCCGGGUCAAUUUACAAGUCCAGAUUUUUUUUUCUUUUGCAAACCAAUGGUUCGCUGAAUCUAUCCUCUUCAAUUGUGACUGAAGGUAAGCUUCUGCAACCUCAGAUUCGGCAUUUUGCUCUAACUAUCAACUAUCAUGUUUUAACAAGCAUUA